rnacentral:rRNA from 1 species
UACGUAGGGUCCGAGCGUUGUCCGGAAUUACUGGGCGUAAAGAGCUCGUAGGUGGUUUGUCGCGUUGUUCGUGAAAACUCACAGCUUAACUGUGGGCGUGCGGGCGAUACGGGCAGACUUGAGUACUGCAGGGGAGACUGGAAUUCCUGGUGUAGCGGUGGAAGUGCGCAGAUAUCAGGAGGAACACCGGUGGCGAAGGCGGGGUCUCUGGGCAGUAACUGACGCUGAGGAGCGAAAGCGUGGGGAGCGAACAGG